UCGACCGCGUAUGAAGUACGUUUCUACCUCGGGUGGACAGGGAGGACAGGUGGUGGCAUGGUUGUCGUCAGCUCGUGUCGUGAGAUGUUGGGUUAAGUCCCGCAACGAGCGCAACCCCUACGUUUAGUUGCUAACAGGUGAAGCUGAGCACUCUAGACGAACUGCCGUUGACAAAACGGAGGAAGGUGGGGGAGUGACGUCAAAUCAUCAUGCCCCUUACUGUUCCGGGCGUACACACGUGCUACAAUGGCCGGUACAGACGGAGGCGAAGCCGCGAGGCGGAGCAAAUCCGAAAAAGCCGGUCUCAGUUCGGAUUGCAGGCUGCAAUUCGCCUGCAUGAAGUUGGAGUUGCUAGUAACCGCAGGUCAGCUAUACUGCGGUGAAUACGUUCCCGGGGAUU
rnacentral:rRNA from 1 species